ACCAUAGGAGUUGACAAGACAGCCCAAACAGAUCUGGGACCAGGCUAGGUAAUGACCAUAGGAGUUGACAAGACAGCCCAAACAGAUCGGGGACCAGGCUAGGUAAUGACCAUAGGAGUUGACAAGACAGCCCAAACAGAUCUGGGACCAGGCUAGGUAAUGACCAUAGGAGUUGACAAGACAGCCCAAACAGAUCGGGGACCAGGCUAGUGUUGCUUUGGAAACGCUGUGAUCAUAUUAACUGUGAAGUUAGCCCAUUGUUACGUCCUUAUGUCUGUUUUUACUUGAAGCAAGGAUACAUCCUAUGGGCCCUGUUUAAACAGUGCACUAUAAAGGGAAUGGCUCCCUACGGGCCCUGUUUAAACAGUGCACUAUAAAGGGAAUGGCUCCCUACGGGCCCUGUUUAAACAGUGCACUAUAAAGGGAAUGGCUCCCUAUGGGCCCUGUUUAAACAGUGCACUAUAAAGGGAAUGGCUCCCUACGGGCCCUGUUUAAACAGUGCACUAUAAAGGGAAUGGCUCCCUGCGGGCCCUGUUUAAACAGUGCACUAUAAAGGGAAUGGCUCCCCGCGGGCCCUGUUUAAACAGUGCACUAUAAAGGGAAUGGCUCCCUACGGGCCCUGUUUAAACAUAAAGGGAAUGGCUCCCUACGGGCCCUGUUUAAACAGUGCACUAUAAAGGGAAUGGCUCCCUAUGGGCCCUGUUUAAACAGUGCACUAUAAAGGGAAUGGCUCCCUACGGGCCCUGUUUAAACAUAAAGGGAAUGGCUCCCAACGGGCCCUGUUUAAACAUAAAGGGAAUGGCUCCCUACGGGCCCUGUUUAAACAGUGCACUAUAAAGGGAAUGGCUCCCUAUGGGCCCUGUUUAAACAGUGCACUAUAAAGGGAAUGGCUCCCUACGGGCCCUGUUUAAACAGUGCACUAUAAAGGGAAUGGCUCCCUACGGGCCCUGUUUAAACAGUGCACUAUAAAGGGAAUGGCUCCCUACGGGCCCUGUUUAAACAGUUCACUAUAAAUGGAAGCGGGUGCCAUUUGAAAUGGAACCCAAGACGACGUGUAAAGUUGAAGCAUGAUCUGAUUAGUGUGAACUAAGUAUAUAGCUUUUUGUGAUUGUAUUUCCUCAUUAGAAGUGCAUUUGUUUUUCCCCCAUCUCGAAGAAUGUGACGUUUUCAGUGGCAUUAAGUUUGUUAUAAAUGGAACAAAUAUACAAGGACCAUGAACUUUACACAUCUUAUUAAGUGAAUUACUAUAUGCAGUAAUAAAAAAAUAAAAGUAGUUUUAAAGGAAAUGUUGGAUCAUAGUUCGAAGCACCAUGUCCAGUGAAGAGAUGUUCUGUGUGUAUAGAAGACGGGUGUAUUCAUUCCGCUGAUUCUGUUGCAAAACGUUUUCGACCUGCCUGAAUUUGUCCAUUAGAAACUGUUUGUUUUUCCCCCGUCCAUUUCAAUUCAGGCAGUAAAAUGAAAUAGCAAAUUUUCCUUCAUUAAAAAAAAAGAAGGGAUAAUUGAAAUGUCAAUCCCAAACCUGGCAGAAUUACAGCCAUGUCUUUGUGUGUAGCGAUAUUUAAAAAGGAAAGAUUCACUCAUUUUUGAAUGUCAUUGUUCUUGUGCAUCUCUGAACGAUGUUCGUAUCGGAGUUAUUGAAACAGGAGAAAACGGCUGGUAUGACAAGUUGAGUCAGAACAUCGCUCAGAUGCAAAAAAAAAAAAGUCAAUGGGUGAAUCUUUCCUUGAAGUUUGUUUUAUAUGGGACAAACAUACAAGGACAGUGAAUUAUUACUACCUACAUUAGUCCCUGAGUGUAACUAUUGUUCUUAUGCAGUGGUUUCAGAAUUGCCUUAAGUCUUUUGAAAUAAACAUGGACUUUGUUCACUCAAUGUGA